AAUGUUAUAAUAAUAAAACAUAAAAUAAAGUUGCAUGCAUUCAUUUUUAUUCUUCAAAAGCCGAAAAUACCAAAAGAAAAAGAAAGCUAUAUUCGGCCAUUAGCAAGCUUGAUUCAAGGUUUUGGAUCUAGUAACGGGCUCGGGGAUCGUCAGAGAAAUCUAUCACACUAUCGACUAUUUUCGGUACUUUAUAAAUUUGAACUUGAACCUAAGGCAUGUAUAGGCUAGAUUAUAUUUGGUUAAGUUUGAAGUUGUGUAUAUAUUAAGCCAUGCCAAAAUGGCUAAUAUGUUAUGUAAGUAUAUGAAAUUUUAGUCAAGUUUAUAUUUUUCAUAUGCAUUAACAA